GAAGAACCAGUCAAUUUCUUACCUGAACGCAAGGUGAUAGCCUUGCAAUGCUCCCUCAGGUUUGACUCUGUAGUGCUAGGGAGCGAUCCUGAAGGUCUCUCUGAAAGCAUCUUAGAAAUUUGGCCAAUUUGAGUCUCCAAGUUCUGAAUCAAGGCCUGCUGAUUCCUAAGUGCACUAUCAGUCUGCUAGAGUCUCGUUUCCGUAGACGUCACAAACUUCAUCAUAAGCUCCUCUAAAUUUGACUUCUUUUCUUGUGGAGGAGGAGCUUGUGCAG
rnacentral:lncRNA from 1 species